AUUGAACGCUGGCGGCAUGCCUUACACAUGCAAGUCGAACGGUAACAGGCCGCAAGGUGCUGACGAGUGGCGAACGGGUGAGUAAUGCAUCGGAACGUGCUCAGUCGUGGGGGAUAACGCAGCGAAAGUUGCGCUAAUACCGCAUACGAUCUAUGGAUGAAAGCGGGGGACCGUAAGGCCUCGCGCGAUUGGAGCGGCCGAUGUCAGAUUAGGUAGUUGGUGGGGUAAAGGCUCACCAAGCCGACGAUCUGUAGCUGGUCUGAGAGGACGACCAGCCACACUGGGACUGAGACACGGCCCAGACUCCUACGGGAGGCAGCAGUGGGGAAUUUUGGACAAUGGGCGCAAGCCUGAUCCAGCAAUGCCGCGUGCAGGAAGAAGGCCUUCGGGUUGUAAACUGCUUUUGUCCGGAACGAAACGGUCCUGGUUAAUACCCGGGGCUAAUGACGGUACCGUAAGAAUAAGCACCGGCUAACUACGUGCCAGCCGCCGCCGUAAGAC
rnacentral:rRNA from 1 species